rnacentral:rRNA from 1 species
UACAGAGGUCCCAAGCGUUGUUCGGAUUUACUGGGCGUAAAGGGCGCGUAGGCGGCCACCGCAAGUCGACUGUGAAAUCUCCGGGCUUAACCCGGAAAGGUCAGCCGAUACUGCGGGGCUAGAGUGCAGAAGGGGCAACUGGAAUUCUCGGUGUAGCGGUGAAAUGCGUAGAUAUCAGGAGGAACACCGGUGGCGAAGGCGGGUCUCUGGGCCGAUACUGACGCUGAGGAGCGAAAGCGUGGGGAGCGAACAGG